CGGGGCGUGGCGCAAUUGGUAGCGUACUCGCUUUGGGAGCGAGGGGUUGUGAGUUCGAGUCUCGCCGCCCCGACCA
rnacentral:tRNA from 3 species